rnacentral:rRNA from 1 species
GAUUAUUGAAAGGUGCUUGCAUCUUGAUUUAAUUUUGAACGAGUGGCGGACGGGUGAGUAACACGUGGGUAACCUGCCCUUAAGUGGGGGAUAACAUUUGGAAACAGAUGCUAAUACCGCAUAAAUCCAAGAACCGCAUGGUUCUUGGCUGAAAGAUGGCGUAAGCUAUCGCUUUUGGAUGGACCCGCGGCGUAUUAGCUAGUUGGUGAGGUAACGGCUCACCAAGGCAAUGAUACGUAGCCGAACUGAGAGGUUGAUCGGCCACAUUGGGACUGAGACACGGCCCAAACUCCUACGGGAGGCAGCAGUAGGGAAUCUUCCACAAUGGACGCAAGUCUGAUGGAGCAACGCCGCGUGAGUGAAGAAGGCUUUCGGGUCGUAAAACUCUGUUGUUGGAGAAGAAUGGUCGGCAGAGUAACUGUUGUCGGCGUGACGGUAUCCAACCAGAAAGCCACGGCUAACUACGUGCCAGCAGCCGCGGUAAUACGUAGGUGGCAAGCGUUAUCCGGAUUUAUUGGGCGUAAAGCGAGCGCAGGCGGUUUUUUAAGUCUGAUGUGAAAGCCCUCGGCUUAACCGAGGAAGUGCAUCGGAAACUGGGAAACUUGAGUGCAGAAGAGGACAGUGGAACUCCAUGUGUAGCGGUGAAAUGCGUAGAUAUAUGGAAGAACACCAGUGGCGAAGGCGGCUGUCUGGUCUGUAACUGACGCUGAGGCUCGAAAGCAUGGGUAGCGAACAGGAUUAGAUACCCUGGUAGUCCAUGCCGUAAACGAUGAAUGCUAGGUGUUGGAGGGUUUCCGCCCUUCAGUGCCGCAGCUAACGCAUUAAGCAUUCCGCCUGGGGAGUACGACCGCAAGGUUGAAACUCAAAGGAAUUGACGGGGGCCCGCACAAGCGGUGGAGCAUGUGGUUUAAU